rnacentral:rRNA from 1 species
GCCAACGUUCAUACCACGUUGAACACACCGGUUCUCGUCCGAUCACCGAAGUUAAGCAACGUCGGGCGCGGUUUUAGUACUUGGAUGGGUGACCGCCUGGGAAUACCGCGUAAUGUUGGCU